rnacentral:rRNA from 1 species
AGAGUUUGAUCAUGGCUCAGGACGAACGCUGGCGGCGUGCCUAACACAUGCAAGUCGAACGAGGUCCAUGCAGUGGCAACACUGCGGAAGACCUAGUGGCGAACGGGUGAGUAACACGUGAGGAACCUGCCCCGAAGACCGGGAUAACCCUCCGAAAGGAGAGCUAAUACCGGACUACCCCACUUGAUCGCAUGAUCGGGUGAGGAAAUGGAUUCCGCUUCGGGAGGGCCUCGCGGCCUAUCAGCUUGUUGGUGGGGUAACGGCCCACCAAGGCAUCGACGGGUAGCUGGUCUGAGAGGACGAUCAGCCACACUGGGACUGAGACACGGCCCAGACUCCGUACGGGAGGCAGCAGGUGGGAAUCUUGCGCAAGUGGGACGAAAGCCUGACGCAGCAACGCCGCGUGGGGAUGAAGGCUCUCGGGUUGUAAACCCCUUUCAGCAGGGACGAAUCAAGACGGUACCUGCAGAAGAAGCCCCGGCUAACUACGUG